rnacentral:rRNA from 1 species
GACGAACGCUGGCGGCGUGCCUAAUACAUGCAAGUAGAACGCUGAAGGAGGAGCUUGCUUCUCUGGAUGAGUUGCGAACGGGUGAGUAACGCGUAGGUAACCUGCCUGGUAGCGGGGGAUAGCUAUUGGAAACGAUAGCUAAUACCGCAUAACAGUAGAUAUCGCAUGAUAUCUACUUGAAAGGUGCAAUUGCAUCACUACCAGAUGGACCUGCGUUGUAUUAGCUAGUUGGUGAGGUAACGGCUCACCAAGGCGACGAUACAUAGCCGACCUGAGAGGGUGAUCGGCCACACUGGGACUGAGACACGGCCCAGACUCCUACGGGAGGCAGCAGUAGGGAAUCUUCGGCAAUGGACGGAAGUCUGACCGAGCAACGCCGCGUGAGUGAAGAAGGUUUUCGGAUCGUAAAGCUCUGUUGUAAGAAAAGAACGAGUGUGAGAGUGGAAAGUUCACACUGUGACGGUAGCUUACCAGAAAGGGACGGCUAACUACGUG